rnacentral:misc_RNA from 1 species
GUCGGCGGCGGGGGUGGCGGCAGUUGAGGCCAUUGCUGCAGUCGAUGGUGUGAGAGGUAUCCAGAUUGGUCCGCGAGACCUCGGGGCCAGCAUGGGGUGCCUGGCGGACCCGGGGAAUCCGAAGGUGAGGGAGUUGCUGCGUUCGGUGGAGCGGAGGGCGCUUGCGGCGGCGGUGAAGGGGCGCGGGCCGUUCCUGGCGGGGAUGGCGACAGCGCUGGAUAGCCCGGAGGAGCUGCUGAGGAGGGGGUACAAUAUGGUGGCGAACGGGGUGGAUUUGGCGCUGUUCAGGAAAGCGGCGGUGCAGGAUGUUGAGGGGUUUCGGAAGGCAUUGGCGACGGUUGGAAAGAAUGACAAAAUCUCUUCUCAAUUUGGCGUGGUGAAGACCAACGGCAGUGUGUUGAAGUCCAACGGCAGUGUGAUGAAUGGAAAUUGUCGCUCUUUUACGAGUAAUGGUUACUAGAAUUGGAUGUAGUUUCAAACCUGAAACUACAAUAAUAGAUUCCAUGGGUGAAGUUUUGAAAUUUGGAAUUAAA